UACGUAGGGUGCAAGCGUUGUCCGGAAUUAUUGGGCGUAAAGAGCUCGUAGGCGGUUUGUCGCGUCUGGUGUGAAAUCAGGGCUUGAACCCUGGACCUGCAUCGGGUACGGGCAGACUAGAGUGCGGUAGGGGAGGAUCGGAAUUCCUGGUGGUAGCGGUGAAAUGCGUAGAUAUUGGGAAGAACACCUGAGGCGAAGGCGGGGU
rnacentral:rRNA from 1 species